CCUACGGGAGGCAGCAGUGGGGAAUAUUGUGCAAUGGGCGCAAGCCUGACCCAGCAACGCCGCGUGAAGGAAGAAGGCUUUCGGGUUGUAAACUUCUUUUGUCAGGGAAGAGUAGAAGACGGUACCUGACGAAUAAGCCACGGCUAACUACGUGCCAGCAGCCGCGGUAAUACGUAGGUGGCAAGCGUUGUCCGGAUUUACUGGGUGUAAAGGGCGUGUAGCCGGGUUGACAAGUCAGAUGUGAAAUCCUGCGGCUUAACCGCAGAACUGCAUUUGAAACUGUUGAUCUUGAGUACUGGAGAGGCAGACGGAAUUCCUAGUGUAGCGGUGAAAUGCGUAGAUAUUAGGAGGAACACCAGUGGCGAAGGCGGUCUGCUGGACAGCAACUGACGGGGAGGCGCGAAAGCGUGGGGAGCAAACAGGAUUAGAUACCCCAGUAGUC
rnacentral:rRNA from 1 species